GAUGAACGCUGGCGGCGUGCCUAAUACAUGCCAGUCGAGCGAACGGACGAGAAGCUUGCUUCUCUGAUGUUAGCGGCGGACGGGUGAGUAACACGUGGAUAACCUACCUAUAAGACUGGGAUAACUUCGGGAAACCGGAGCUAAUACCGGAUAAUAUUUUGAACCGCAUGGUUCAAAAGUGAAAGACGGUCUUGCUGUCACUUAUAGAUGGAUCCGCGCUGCAUUAGCUAGUUGGUAAGGUAACGGCUUACCAAGGCAACGAUGCAUAGCCGACCUGAGGGGGUGAUCGGCCACACUGGAACUGAGACACGGUCCAGACUCCUGCGGGAGGCAGCAGAAGGGAAUCUUCCGCAAUGGGCGAGAGCCUGACGGAGCAACGCGGCGUGAGUGGUGAAGGUCUUCGGUGCGUAAAGCUCUGUUAUUAGGGAAGAACAUAUGUGGAAGUAACUGUGCACAUCUUGACGGUACCUAAUCAGAAAGCAACGGCUAACUACGUG
rnacentral:rRNA from 1 species